UACGAAGGGGGCUAGCGUUGUUCGGAAUUACUGGGCGUAAAGCGCGCGCAGGCGGUUUCUCAAGUCAGUGGUGAAAGCCCGGAGCUCAACUCCGGAACUGCCAUUGAAACUGUGAAACUUGAGGACGAGAGAGGUGAGUGGAAUUCCCAGUGUAGAGGUGAAAUUCGUAGAUAUUCGGAAGAACACCAGUGGCGAAGGCGGCUCACUGGACCGGUAUUGACGCUGAGGAGCGAAAGCUAGGGGAGCAAACGGG
rnacentral:rRNA from 1 species